UUGUGUUGGUGAUAUAUAAUUAAAUUUGCCUUCAACCACAAGCUUAAGCUUUUGGAUGAAUUGGUGGUUUAAUAUGGUAUCAGAGCAGGUGGUCCAGGGAGGUCCUGUGUUCAAGCCCCUGUAUUGUCGUUUCCUCCCCAAUUAAAAUCAAUUUCCACUUGUUGGGCCUUUCAGAUAUUUCAAGCCCACAAGUGAGGGGGAGUGUUGGUGAUAUAUAAUUAAAUUUGCCUUCAACCACAAGCUUAAGCUUUUGGAUGAAUUGGUGGUUUAAUAACUUGAAUUUUCAAAACGACCAAGCAAUGCUUAAGUGUAAGUUUGUAACUCACAACCUACCAAAAUUUCAAAAAGUAUGAAAAAAGUACUUCAAGACCCAACAUGUCAAUCAAAUGUGUGUAAAACUUAGUUUCAAACCAACCUAAAAC
rnacentral:lncRNA from 1 species